rfam:Triticum aestivum genome assembly, contig: Triticum_aestivum_CS42_TGACv1_scaffold_374428_5AL
UUAGUACUUCCUCCGUCCAAGAAAGCUUGUCCCUCAAAUGGAUGUAUCUAGCACUAACUUGGUGCUAGAUACAUCCAUUUGAGGGACACACUUUUUCGGACGGAGGGAGUACUUG